ACGUAUCUCCUACGGGAGGCAGCAGUGGGGAAUAUUGGACAAUGGGCGCAAGCCUGAUCCAGCCAUGCCGCGUGAGUGAUGAAGGCCCUAGGGUUGUAAAGCUCUUUCACCGGUGAAGAUAAUGACGGUAACCGGAGAAGAAGCCCCGGCUAACUUCGUGCCAGCAGCCGCGGUAAUACGAAGGGGGCUAGCGUUGUUCGGAUUUACUGGGCGUAAAGCGCACGUAGGCGGACUAUUAAGUCAGGGGUGAAAUCCCGGGGCUCAACCCCGGAACUGCCUUUGAUACUGGUAGUCUUGAGUUCGAGAGAGGUGAGUGGAAUUCCGAGUGUAGAGGUGAAAUUCGUAGAUAUUCGGAGGAACACCAGUGGCGAAGGCGGCUCACUGGCUCGAUACUGACGCUGAGGUGCGAAAGCGUGGGGAGCAAACAGGAUUAGAAACCCUGGUCC
rnacentral:rRNA from 1 species